UGAGUAACCUGCCCUUAACUCUGGGAUAAGCCUGGGAAACUGGGUCUAAUACCGGAUAUGACUCCUCAUCGCAUGGUGGGGGGUGGAAAGCUUUUUUGUGGUUUUGGAUGGACUCGCGGCCUAUCAGCUUGUUGGUGAGGUAAUGGCUCACCAAGGCGACGACGGGUAGCCGGCCUGAGAGGGUGACCGGCCACACUGGGACUGAGAUACGGCCCAGACUCCUACGGGAGGCAG
rnacentral:rRNA from 1 species